CGUUCUGUGGCGUAGUUGGUUAACGCGCCCAAUCUAGCGUAUUGGGAGUCGUGGGAUCGCAUCCCACCAGAACGA
rnacentral:tRNA from 1 species